AGUGAACGCUGGCGGUAGGCCUAACACAUGCAAGUCGAACGGCAGCACAGUAAGAGCUUGCUCUUACGGGUGGCGAGUGGCGGACGGGUGAGGAAUACAUCGGAAUCUACUUUUUCGUGGGGGAUAACGUAGGGAAACUUACGCUAAUACCGCAUACGACCUACGGGUGAAAGCAGGGGAUCUUCGGACCUUGCGCGAUUGAAUGAGCCGGUGUCGGAUUAGCUAGUUGGCGGGGUAAAGGCCCACCAAGGCGACGAUCCGUAGCUGGUCUGAGAGGAUGAUCAGCCACACUGGAACUGAGGCACGGUCCAGACUCCUACGGGAGGCAGCAGUGGGGAAUAUUGGACAAUGGGCGCAAGCCUGAUCCAGCCAUACCGCGUGGGUGAAGAAGGCCUUCGGGUUGUAAAGCCCUUUUGUUGGGAAAGAAAAGCAGCAGGUUAAUACCCCGCUGUUCUGACGGUACCCAAAGAAUAAGCACCGGCUAACUUCGUG
rnacentral:rRNA from 1 species